CCAAAAAAAAAAGAAUCUGCUUGGUGAAUCUUUCAAAGAAGCAGCAAAUGAAUAACCCAUGAACCAUCCCCCAUAUAUUCAUUAAUCCUUUGUUAGGAUCAUUAUACAAAUGAGGUUUACAAAUAUAUAUAUUUUUGCCUAAUCAGAACAGAGACACAGACCAUAUACUAAGAUACGCAUAGAUCCCAAUCACCGACUCAAAAUAAGUACAGCAAUGGGCUAAAUUUUAGAGCAUGGAGUUCACUGAAAGAUUGACUAGCAUUAGCAUACUUGUAAGUCUACUUUGAGCUCAUCAGAACUCCUGUUACAAGUUGUUCCUGAAAAAUUUGCUGUGGGCUUAAAUAAAUUGGUUAACCCUUUACGCUACCAAGUCAUCUGAAAUGACUUUCCAAGCUUUGCUUAGCUAUAAUUUGUCACUAGAAAUAGUUAAAUAGCCUUCUCAAAUUUGGGAGAAGUGGUCUUGAUAGGUGCCCAGAGAUCUGCGCCAUUGCUGCGAGCAACUCCAACAGUGCAAGAGAUUGGAACAAGACAUAAACCUCUGCUUCUCAGACUGUAUUGAUCUAAUUCCUGUAGCUGAGCUGCUGGUAUACUUUGUAGGUAUGGAGCACUCAACACCUUAACUUGUUCAUGAAGAAAUUGUAUGUAUUCCAUUGCCUCCAGAAGGACAGAUGCUGUAUCUGUCUUCCCAUAUGGUGAGACAAGCUGCUGCAGAGCUACAAUGCGUUCACCUAGCUUCUCUUUCCUCUCCUUUGUGGAUAUAGAAAUAUCAGCCUUAUGCCGUUUGGUUGCAAGAGAAGUAAGACUGCCUUGGUCAACAGAGCAUGGGCUUCUUUUGUUCUCCAUCAUCUUUUUCACAAAGUGUCACUUGUUUUCCCUACAUAAAAAUGGCAUUACCAUGUAUAAUCAGAAAUAAUAUAAACACCUCCCAAUCAUAUUCAUGCAGCAACAAGUUACAGUAGAAACAGAACACCUAAAAGAAUCAAGAAACUCAAUCACAUAAUAUUUAAUCUUUCACAGGCAUAGUUAAAUAAGAAACAGCAAACAUCCUAAUAGCAUGGUAACCAGAUUGACGGUUCAUAAUUUAUUAACGUUCAUUAUAAUAUUUUCACAGUACCGAAUACCUUAGCGAAGGUGGUUACCUUCAAAAUGACAUCAGAGAUUAUAAGUGCUUAUAUGUCUUGCAACAAAAUAACCUUCCCACACACUUUUUCCACACCAAUGCCCCUUUUCUCAUGAGAUGAUUUACAAUGAAUAGAUGCUCCUUUACUGGCUAAAAGGCCAGGAAACAAGCAACAUGACUUCAAUGUAUCCAUUUAUUAACAUGAUCAAAUCAACAGUUGACGUUUACUAAUUUUGAUCUAGGUCUAAAAUAUACAAUUGACAGUGUGCAACACUUGUUGAGCCCUCUGGUGCAUUUUCAUUAAAAGAAUUAUCUUCUAACUAUGGAUAGUUCAUAUAAGGAAACACAGAUGGAUACACAGUGAGUGAAACUCCCCAAAAAUACAGAAUUAGGACUGAUAGCCCAAGUCUAAUUUGGGAGGGUGGUUUCCUUCACCUUGUAUGGGGUAGGUAACUGAUUAAAAUUUCCAUUCACAAAACCAAAAGAUUGCAAGAACUGAGCAUUCACAAGGAUACAAGUAGCAGAACAAAACUCAUGUGGCAACACCCAAAGAAAAAAUAAUUAUAGUUGACCAUUCAAUCGCGUUGAUUUUGAUUAAAGCAAGCAUCCAAGGUAGAUCACAAAUUAUGGACCUACUACGGAGCUCAAUGACUACAAUUAUAGCAAAAAAUAUUCAAAUAUUAUAUAAAAGCACACGACACCAUCGGUAGAGAAAAAAAAAAUCAUAGUUCAUUUCAUAAAAAAAAGAAAAACAUGCACUGUUUUGGUCAGAGAUUAACAGUCCACAAGAAGCUCAACAGCAUAAUAAUAUAUACAUAUACUUAAUAUAAAUACAGCUACAGAAUAAACAAAACAAUAUAACCAUAAUUAAUUAAUUGUAUGAUCACAAACAGACAGGAGUUUCAUGAAUCGAUGAAAUACAUAAUCACAUUUGUUUAAAAUAUUAGCAAUAAAAUAAGAUUGCAUGGAAUCAAACAAAUCCCUUCCUUUGUUCAAAUUUUUUUAUAAUGGAGCAAGAACCCACCAUUUGAUUAGUCACCCAAAAACACAUAAACAAAUCUGACGGUUAAAAUUGCAGCAAAUAUAUUUAAUUAGUACAAAUUAAAGACAUAAAUGAACACAGUAUUGUCAUGAUUGUGCAAUCGUGAUAGAGAAGAAACUCAAAUUCAAUAGAAGGUUUAUUGUGGGCCCAGAUUGAAUACAUGCGUGAAAGGAACAUUGAUGCAUUCAAUUUGCUUAUGUAUAUUCUACCCAUCUUCUUUCAUUGAACACAAAAACAAUAUCUUAAUUGAUACCCAUAUAACUUCAACUCAACUACUAAAUUCCCUACAGUCUACAUGCAUUCAGAUUACAAUAAUCAAAAACCAUAUAACCCAAGAGGGAAAGAACACCACUGUGAAUCCCAUUGCAAAAAAGGAAUAACCAAACUUAAAUUGGUUGCACAUGAAAGAAACAAUUUUUUUUUUGUCACUUGGGUAUCUAAAAUAAGAAAUCUUUGGGAGGUGGAAAUGAAAAAUAAUUCAAGGGGAAAAAAGAGGGAGAU
rnacentral:misc_RNA from 1 species